GAAAUCCUCUGGGGUUGGGUGAGAUUCCCUACCGGCGGUAAAGCCCGCGAGCCUUUGGCAGAUCUGGUGAAAUUCCAGAGCCGACAGUUAGAGUCUGGAUGAGAAGAGGAACAG
rnacentral:ncRNA from 2 species